rnacentral:pre_miRNA from 1 species
UUGGCUUUAACACCGUCUUAAAAUUCCUGUCUUAAAUUUGUCUAAAUAUGGAUAUAUCAAGUCACGUUUUAAUAUUAGAUACAUUCCUAUCUAGAUAAAUCUAAGAAAAGAAUUUUGGGAUGGAGAAAGUAUU